GACGAACGCUGGCGGCGUGCUUAACACAUGCAAGUCGAACGGAAAGGCCCUGCUUUUGUGGGGUGCUCGAGUGGCGAACGGGUGAGUAACACGUGAGUAACCUGCCCUUGACUUUGGGAUAACUUCAGGAAACUGGGGCUAAUACCGGAUAGGAGCUCCUGCUGCAUGGUGGGGGUUGGAAAGUUUCGGCGGUUGGGGAUGGACUCGCGGCUUAUCAGCUUGUUGGUGGGGUAGUGGCUUACCAAGGCUUUGACGGGUAGCCGGCCUGAGAGGGUGACCGGCCACAUUGGGACUGAGAUACGGCCCAGAAUCCUAAGGGAGGCAGCAGUGGGGAAUAUUGCACAAUGGGCGGAAGCCUGAUGCAGCAACGCCGCGUGCGGGAUGACGGCCUUCGGGUUGUAAACCGCUUUCGCCUGUGACGAAGCGUGAGUGACGGUAAUGGGUAAAGAAGCACCGGCUAACUACGUG
rnacentral:rRNA from 1 species